rnacentral:rRNA from 1 species
AACAGGCUAAUUGCGCCAGAGAGUUCAUAUUGAGUGCGCAGUUUGGCACCUCGAUGUCGGCUUAGCUCAUCCACAUGGAUGCAACAACCAUGAAGGGUUCGACUGUUCGUCGAUUAAAGAGUUACACGAGCUGGGUUAAAUACGUCGUGAGACAGUAUGGUUUCUAUCUUCUAGAGGAAAUUAGAAUAAAAUAAGGAUAGCCCCUUGUACGUAAGUAAAUGGGUAUAUUAACCUCUGGUUUACCUGCUGUUUAUGUUCCUAUAUUAAUUUAAAUUAUAAGUUUAUAUAAAAAGGACAUUCUUUUUAAUAUGGCUUAUUUUGGGGUUUUACUUUUCACUAUAGUAAUUUUUAACAUAGGCACGGCAGGAAGGCUAUGUUAGUUAAUGAUAAGAGCUGAAUACAUAUAGGCACGAAACUUACCUUUAGAUAUUCUUAAAUAAACGUAGUUUAAUACUACGAUUUUAGGUCCUUAUAGUUUAAAUAUGAAAAUAUUAAACAAGUAUAAUUUAAUAAAAUUAAUCUGGGUUUAAUAUUAUUAUGUGUAUAAAGAAGGUGAUAAAUGUUCUGGAAAACUGUAAACUCGACAUGAAACUGCAGAAAUGUAUAGUGUGAGUAGUAUAGAGAAAACACGAAAGGAAUUAAACGUUCCAUCAUGUCUAUAUCAACCGUACCUAAAUACUAUCGCAAGUAAGCAAGUAGAGAAUACGAAGGCGUUCGAGUGAACAAUCAUUAAGGAACUCGGCAAAUUAACUCUGUCGUAACUUAGGGAUAAGGUGGGCCAUUCCACUUGAUUAAUAUCAAGGUUGGAAGAGGAGGCACAGAAUGGUGUUGUACGACUGUUUAAUUAAAACAAAGCAUGCUGCAAAGAAAAAAUAAUUCGAAGUAUAGUGUGUGAACUCUGCCCUAUGACGGCUGGGUAUACUAUUUGCUUAAUUGACUAACAUAGGUUAGGCUUUGAAGGAAACCCCGUUCAAUGGCGGCUUUACAGAUGAGAGUCCUAAGGUAGCGUAAUACCUUGGCCGUUAAAUGCGGUCUUGCAUGAAUGACGUAACGAUACAACAGCUGUCUCGAUGAUUGGCUCGGUGAAAUUGGAAUAACAGUGCAGAUACUGUUUACCUGUAGAUAGACGAGAAGACCCUAUGCAGCUUUACUGUUGCUAGUUAUUGGGUAUGAUAUUCCGAGUUUUAGCGUAUAAGGUAGUUGAUUAGACAAAAUUGUAACACCUUUACUUAAGGGGAUCAUAUUGAAUUACCACAAGUGGUGGAACAAUUGCUGGGUGGCAGUUUAUGCGGGGCACAGAUCCCAUAAAAAGUACCUGGGAGUAUCCAAAUUUUAAUUCUAUAAAUAAAAAACAUAUUUGCAUGCAAAUAUAUAGAGACUACCUUUAUAUAUUAAAUAAAAAUUCUGCUACAGCAGUAGCCUGCUAUAUUUUUUUAUUAUUAGUUUGCUAUUAGUGAUAAUUAAUUUAUUACUAAUCUAAUUAUUUAUCUAUUUAAGUUAGAACUUUUUUUUUAACCAAGUAGGAUUUUCACUAUCUAAAUAUAUAGAUGUAAUUAAAACAUUAUAUAGUUAUUAUAUAAAAAAAAGAUAUAAUAUACUAGGAAUGUUUUUUGUUGUUAACUAGUUUAUCUAUAAAUUAAUAAGAGAUAAAUAGCUAAAUGAUUAUUAUUUUACUCAUAAAGUUUAACGGCUUAAUCUUGCUUUACUGUUUGACUUACAUGUCUUUCAGUCGCGUAAGCGGGGCAUAUGAUCACAAGAUGCAGAAAGGAAAGGUCUUGGAUUAUUGAAAAAGCUACGCUAGGGAU